UGGUGGUUCGCCGCGGCUGGCGGCGAUUUCUACCUCCCUCCCAUUCCCGAUUUCCCAUGAGCGUGCCCUCCCCUCUCGUUCUCUGUUGGCGAGCAGACGAGCCUCUCUCCCCUGCUGACGGCGGCCGAGCCUGCAGGGGCCUUCCGCAGCUGCACGACCACGGGAUCUGAUCCGAUGACCGUGCGCGCGUUGGGAAGUCCGUGCUCGCGGCGAGAUUACGACCUUCGGACAAGGACAACCCCGCCCGACAGCUUCGUCCUUCACUCCUCAGCGAGUGCCCUAGCUGCACUUUGCAUCCCAAGAAGACCUGGUUUGCUUCAUCCAAGAUCUUGUCACCGUGCUCGAUCAGUUUGUUGGAGUACCAUGAGAGGAAAAACUUCCCCUUCUCGGUAAGGUAUGUUCCGUUGUCCUUGAAGAACUGGGUCUCCUCAGGAGUGUCAUUGUACUGUCCAGCAUCGUCAGGCAAUCCCCACUCAGGAUGGCCAGCCUUCACUGCUGCUGCUUUGAAGUCUUCUUCUAGAUCAUCACUUGGACAAAGAUUGAAUUGCCUUUGGUCAUAUGUAUAAGAACAUUUUGAAGAAAAGAAGAGGAUAGCUUUUGUUUGGUAAAAGGCACUUACGAUGAAUUCUCCGAUCCCUGGGAACACCCAUCCCUGGCUCUGAGGAUAGGAUGGGUACCUCAUCUCUCCAGCUGGACCGAGUCCCACCUCAAUGUCCACGAUGACACCAGCAUCCAGGAACUGUUCCAUAUUCUCCCUGAAGCUCUUCAUGUAAUCAGCAUACAUCUGUCACAGCCACAAGGAAGAAUCAAAGCUUGCCACCAUGGCCAUACAGUACCAAACAAAAUCACAACUCUGCCGUUGCCAAGACUCAUCUGAGCAUCUGAUCGAUCACCACAUAUGCAGCAGAGCGUGAAGUGGUGGUUUAGCUGUGCUAACCUGGACGGCAGUUCUUCCAUGGAAGAGAGGCUGGUCAUCCACUCCAAGGGUGAGGUACUCAAUGUUCCUUGUCCCGCUCCGGUUGGUGUAGAAAAUGUCUGGAUCGCUCUUGCCGAUGUCCCGCACCCACUGCGGGAUGGGGAUGUUGACGACGUCGCCGACGUUGCCGCCGCACUGGUGGAACGACAUGAUGGCCUGCAGCUUCAGCCCGGCCUCCUGCACCAGCUCGAACACCUGCUUGUAGGCGCUCCAGUCGUACUCCUUGGGGACCUUGCCCUCCACCAGCCCCCACCAGACGUCUAUCAUCACGCCGUCGACGCCGGCCUCCGCCAGCUUCUUCAGCUGCGCCCUGAUCUCCUCGCCCUUCUCGAAUGUGUUGUCGAUGCUCACCACAUCCAGCUAUUUCCGUGGCCAAAGUGAAAUCAAUGUUAGUAAAAAAUCCAUCUAAGGUCUAAGCUCUUGUUUCACAUGACUUCACUCUUCAACUGUUGUGUUAAUGUGUUAUACAUAUGGCUAAAUAUACCUACGAUAGUGUGAAUUAGAUCCUUGAAAUGUGUAUGGUGCUUAGCGAGGUAAAUGAGCUUACAGGAAGCAUGACGUUGACUUGGACGUAGUUGGCUAGCAUGUUCCCACCCAUUGUGGCUGCUGGCUAAAAUGUAUGCUCUACAGACACUGGCUUGCGUGCUCACUCUCGCUGAACUUGGUUUGCUGGAUGUUGCAGGGAGCU